UCUGUUCCAACUUUCGUCGCCCGAGGUCCCGGAGGUUUUUCUGGGCGUGAAGCCUCAUCGGCGCAGUCAUGUCUCGCCGGCAGACCUUCUCUGAACACCAUAAACCAGGUUGGCGGCAGUCUAAACAUCAUCGCUGAAAAUGAUUGUGGGUGGCAAACUAUAGAGAAAAGAACUUGUUGGUAGCGACUUACAGAAUCAGAACUAAAAAGUGAAAAUAUUUCGAAGUUAAUACUUUUGGAUCAUGAAGAAAGGAACUGUGCGCCGCCGCUGUAGAAUCCCGUCGGGAGUCUGAGUCACGGUCCGCUUCAACCAUAGGGUGGUGAAUGGAGGCAAGUGAUUGUGAAGAAAUUGGGUAAAUAGAUUUUAUCUUAUAUUUUUAUUUGAAUCUGGUCUUCUAAAUUUAGUAAGUUUUACGAUAUUGUUAUUAAAUUAAAUUAGAUUGUUUAUUACCCUAAUUUGAUCAUUUGUUAGUUCACUACACUUACAUAAUCAGCUUAAUAAUAAAUUGUAAGUGUAUACAUGUACCCCCACAACCAAAUAUCAACCUCACUCACUAGGAACAAAUUCUUGUUUGGAUACAACACACAAAAAAAAAAAGUCUGGUUGCGAAAGGGCAUUGGUAAAGCCACAGACAAUGAAAUUGCUGCUUUAUCUUGCUCUAUCCAAGGGCUACUAGUUCAUCACUAAAAUGAAUGUCAAAUAUCAAUAGUUUAUUUCUCCAGGAUCCCAUGCCCAUGUUCAUCUACAUGGUCUCUAACAAGCACCAAGGUGUUUAGAAGCUGUUAUACCGUGUUGGAACAGGGAAAAGAAAGAAGAGACACAGAGAUGUUAAAUCUGUGUAUUGAAAUGACACCAUGGAGUUUGAUUUAUACAAGUUCAUCAUAAAAAUACACGUACACAGAAGAAAAUUUUCUCCUCUGAAUCAGAUAAGAUUUGGCUAUAAAUCAGAUAUAUGUUAAUAUAGAAUAUAUUAAUACAAUUUUCAACAGUAUACCUUACAGUCUGCAAUGGCUGGAAAGUUAAAAAUAUGAUUGUCUUUUGUGGCACAGUUAACUAAACAAAAGCACAAAAUUCAUAUGAUCCAAGUACGCCUGAGAAAUGGGACAAUUUGCAAGCAAGAAAGUUAGAUUCCUCUGCUGUAGGAAAUCACUAUUAUGCAUGGACAAUGUGGAUUAUUGAAGCAAUAACCAGAUAGUACCCUGAAAGAAAAGAAACCUGGGAAUAGUGGGAGUUAAACUAAACUCUCAUUAAUUCCCUAUAAGCUGUUAAAUUUGUAAUGUGGCUAACUGGAAACCUUAUCUGAACUGGAUUGGACCAAGCCUUUCCUUGGAGGGUUUGAUGCUGCUGGCACAUGGCUGCGAAGNAGAUAACUCUGAUUGCAUGUUCAUGAAAAAAGUGUCCACAAUAUCUACAUAGACAGGGCUCUUAAGUCGAGAAUAGUAGUGCAGUGCCUCUUCUAUGUCUAGAACACGCUCUAGAUCACCCGCAUCCACCAUAUCCAUUGCCUUCAUCUUUUGUGCUAAAACAUGAACUUUCUUGUUCAUGUUUUCUGCAUUGAAGUCCUCUUUUUUUCUGAGCUUUGAGCUUCCUUUCUUUUUCUCUUGUGCUCUCUCCUCAUUCUUGCUCUUUUGCAGUCUUUGCCUGGGAAAACAAACGGAGCUUUCAGUGCAAGAAGCAGCUUCCAUUGCUGACCCGGACCUGUUGUUGUUACCAUACAAGUUUAUUCUGUUGAGAUCAGUCUGCAGGAGAUCAUAAAACUCACUGUAAAACUGGUCGCUAGUGCGAGUUCUUGCAUUGCCAACUCUACAAAGGAAUGGAUUGAAGGAAAAAGNUCUGGGAAGCUUUUGGUACUCUUCAAAGAAGAAAGACAAGAAAUUUCGGAAGCUUUUGUUAAAAAAGACCUUGGUCUUGCGAAAGGUUUGUCUUAGCUGCAUUUGGGAUUCUACUNUGAAAGUGAAAGGAAGUGGGUUUCUCUACUGUGUCUACAUUCAGAAUUUCAAACAAAGAGAAGUGCAGUUGGUAACUGGCUUAUUAAUAAGGUCACUUAGAAAACAAAACCAACGUCUUUCCUCUGGCUACCUUUAAACUCUACCAUUUUGUCUACGGCAUCUCGUGUUAUUUGUCCCUUUCAAACCCCUUCACUCUCUGCUAAUAUCAAAAAAG
rnacentral:lncRNA from 1 species